GUGACUCAUGGAGCACAACUCUGGACAGAUCAAACUGGAACAUGUUUCUUGAUAAGUCAAUGGAAAACGUCGUUUUGUUGGCUCCAAACAACAUCGAAGCAUCGCCUGUGAGCUUGUUCCUUGAGAAAUCUAUCCGGUUAAAAUCAAGGUUGCCUAGUGAUUUGGGUAUAGAACCGGAGAGCUGAUUGUGUGAAAAGAUAAGGUAAGGAACUUCUGCUGGAAACGAUCCAAAUGAUUCAGGUAUUGUACCUAAGUGAAAGUUAGAAAAAAAGCAUUUUAAUAAUCAUAUUUUAAGCGACGAAUAGUAGAAUCAAAGAGAUUUUGUGACCAAAAAAAAAAAGUAGAAUCAAAGAGAUUACUUAGUUUACCUGUAAGUUUAUUCCUACUAACAUCAAUGUACGAAAGUUUAGGUAACAAAGCGAGGGAGCUAGGUAUGGAACCAGAGAGCUGAUUGAAGGCAAGGCUUAAGUAUUCAAGAUUCAUGAGCUGACUAAGGAAAUCAGGAACCGGGCCGGUGAGGUUCAACCAGCUAAGCCUGAGAGAACGGAGAUGCUUAAGCUUGGUGAUGGUGGAUGGGAUCUGACCGGUGAUGUUAGUGAUCCUGUGGAACAUAAGAUUCUGAAGAUACGGUAAGUCACCCACUUCAGGCGGAAUCUGACCGGAUAUCUGACCGGCGAAUAUGGUUAGGGAGAUGACGCGGUGGUUAACGGUGGCGUCGCCGCAUUCGAGGCAGUACCAGGAGCAGCAGUCGGUUUCCGGGUGCCACGAGGCGAGGUGGUAAGGGUUGUUUAGGGACUUCUUGAUUUUAAGGAGGGUGUUUUUGUCGUUUUGGUUACAUAGAUCUUUCGAUGUCGCGAUGGUGAUGAGGUACGUGAUGAAAAACAAGAGCGAGAAAAGCAGUGUCGUGUUUGUCUUAUGAUCCAUGUUGUAUGGUGUUUGGUUUUGAAUAUUUUUUUUGUUGAAAGUGUGACGAUGAUAUAAACACUAUCGAGAUUAGAUAUUUGAUUUGAUAGAAACCUUAAUAGUCAGUCAAUACGUGUGAUUAAGAUGUCGGUGUUGAAUAUGGUUGGCUGGUGCCAACAUGCUGGCAGUCAACAUGUGCCACUUGAGUACUACUACUCUCUCAGCCACGGCUUCUAUUUUCUGAUUAAAAAAAAAAAAUUCAUAUGUAUAUAAAUGUUUGGGUUUAUAAUCUUACACGAAGCACUUUUAAGCUUCAAUAUAUGAAAUUUGCUUUUGAUACAAUUUUAAAACAGUUUCCACAAAUAGUUUUAUUUUCGAAAUGAGAAAAUUUAUAUAAUUUAAAACAGGAUUUGAAAAAUGAGAUGCACCAAAAAGAAAAUAGCAUCUAAAUGUAUUUCAUGAAACUAAAAUAUGACUAGAAAAGCAUCUGACAUGAAAUAACAUCUGGCGUGAGAGAAAAAGCAUGGAGCUGAUCCUUCUCCACCUAUCAAACUAGAAAAGCAUCUAUAGGACUAUCAGAAACAGAACAUAUGCAGAUGGGAUAGCAAUAUGGUUUGGCUCAAGGAUAAGCACCUAAAUCAUUCUUUACAUUCUUUUCUUCUUUAUUCUUUCUCUAUUUAGAAGUUAAAAACACCUUUCGGACACGGAAGCUCUAGAUGUUAAAUAAGGUUCUUAGUUUUUUUAGUUAAAAGUUAAGAAACGGUUUUUUAUAUUCCGCUAAGAACAAGAAACGGUUUUUUAUAUUCCGCUAAGAACCUCACCCUAAGAACUCUCCAUUAAUCAUGCUCUUAUAAGUGAAAAUAGAGGAUAAGUAUUCGUCCUUAUUCUUCCUCUAUUUGUGGUAAGCUCUACCUUCAUUUUCACUUUAAAAAUGUUCUAAGAACUCAUCAAAAUACAAGUUGUGAUACAUGUUUUAUUUAAUCAAUCUGGAUGAUAUUACAUUUUUUUUUUUGGGAAAACUAGAGAUAAGCUUGGUUUAUUACUUGCAACUAUCAAGAGGUGCACCACACAAACACUUGUUGUGAAAAUAUAUAUAAGAAUCAAAUCUCUGAAGACUGCCUCCAGUGGGGAUGGGUCCACACAGUCUGUUAUAGCUAACGUUUAAGAGUUGGAGAGAAUAUUCAGUCCACUGAACCGGAAUACUCCCUGUGAUCCCAUUGUGGUUCAAAUCCAGUACACCAAGUGACUGAGGGAGCACAACUCUGGACAGAUCAAACUGGAACAUGUUUCUUGAUAAGUCAAUGGAAAACGUCGUUUUGUUGGCUCCAAACAACAUCGAAGCAUCGCCUGUGAGCUUGUUCCUUGAGAAAUCUAUCCGGUUAAAAUCAAGGUUGCCUAGUGAUUUGGGUAUAGAACCGGAGAGCUGGUUGUGUGAUAAGAUAAGGUAAGGAACUUCUCCUGGAAACGAUCCAAAUGACUCUGGUAUUGUACCUAAGUGAAAGUUAAAACGUUGUGAAUAGAAAAAUAACAAUGUAAUAAACAGUUUAUUUUUUAUAAUCGUUUUUUUAUACAUAAAAGAGUUAUUCACCUGUAAGCUUAUUCCUACUAAGAUCAAUGUACGUAAGUUUAGGUAACAGGGAGAGAGAGCUAGGUACUGAACCAGAAAGCUCAUUGAACGAAAGGUUUAAGUAGUCAAGAUUCACGAGCUGACUAAGAAAAUCAGGAACCGGGCCGGUGAGGUUCGUCCAGCUAAGCCAUAGAAACGUGAGAUACUUGAGCUUGGUGAUGCUGUGUGGGAUCUGACCGGUGAGGUUAGUGAGUUUGCGGAAGACAAGCUUCUGAAGAUACGGUAAGUCACCGACUUCAGGCGGGAUCUGACCGGAUAUCUGACCGGCGAAUAUGGUUAGGGAGAUGACGCGGUGGUUAACGGUGGCGUCGCCGCAUUCGAGGCAGUACCAGGAGCAGCAGUCGGUUUCGGGGUGCCACGAGGCGAGGUGGUAAGGGUUGUUUAGGGACUUCUUGAUCUUGAGGAGGGUCUUUUUGUCGUUUUGGUUACAUUGAUCUUUUGAUGACGCGUUCGCGAGGUGUGUGAUGAAAAACAAGAGCGAGAAAAGCAGUGUCGAAUGUAUUUUAUUAUCCAUGUUGUAUGGUUUUGAUUUUGAGUUUUUGUUCUUGAAAGUGUGACAGUGAUAUAUACACACUAGAGAUUAGAGAUUUGAUUUGAUAGGAACCUUAAUAGUCAAUACGUAUGCUCAAGAUGUCGGUGUUGAAUUUGGUUGGCUAGUGCAAAACUAGUGGCUGUCCACAUGUGCCACUUGAGUACUACUACUCUCUCCAUCACGGCUUCUUUUUUUGAAAAAGGGCUUUCCGGGCUAUUUAUUUUAUGGGAAAUUGGGUGAGAUAACAUAAAAAAAAACCAUAAUUCACUAUUUAACUAAAAUUUCAUUAUCUCUCAUCUUUUCUCUUUCUAUCUCUCUCUACUUUUUCUCUACAAGACUAAUUUUUCUUUUUUUCUUAGCUAUUUCACAAAUAAAUCUUUAUUUUAUUUUAUUUUUCUAAAAAAUUAUUCGUAUACUUAUAUAGUUAUAUAAAUUAUGGUUUACAAUACCACAUGAAAGACUUUAAAGCUUCAGCAUAUCAGAUUUACUUUUGAUAAAAUUUGAAACAAUAACCACGAAUAGUAUAUAUUGUUUUAUUUAUUUAAAAACUGGAGGUUGGAUUCGAAAAUUUAGAUGCACCAAAAAAAAAAAUAUACUAGAAACAAGUUUGGUUGAUUAACAAAAAGUUUUGAAGAUUAUACAACAAAUUUAUCAAAGCAAGUUUGGUUGAUUAUUUUUAUUAAUCAAUCCAAAUAAAGAUACAGUUGUUUAUAGACUUAUUGGAUUAUUUGUAGAAGUAUAAUAAUAAUAGCUUGGCUGCUUGAAUCUUUUACUUGCAACUAUCAAGAGGUGCACCACACAAACACUUGUUGUGAAAAUAGGAAUAAGUAUCGAAUUCCUGAAGUGUCCCUCCUGUGGGGAUGUGUCCACACAAUCUGUUAUAGCUAACAUUGAAGAACUGAAGAGGAGCUUCGGUCCACUGAACCGGGAUAUUCCCUGUGAUUCCGUUGUGGUUCAAGUCCAAGAUACCAAGUGUCUUAGGGAUCACAACUCUAGAGAGAUCGAACUGUAACAUGUUUCUUGAUAAAUCAAUGUACCACGUCGUUUUGUUGGCUCCAAACAACAUCGAAGCAUCGCCUCCGAGCUUGUUCCGAGAGAAAUCUAUCCGGUUAAAAUCAAGAUUGCCUAGUGUUUUUGGUAUAUAACCGGAGAGCUGGUUGUGUGAUAGGUAAAGAUCAGGUACUUUUGCUGGAAACGACCCAAAUGACUCUGGUAUAGAACCUGCUUGCAUGAAAAGUUUCAUAAUCAGGUUUAGAAAGAAAGGUAAAUAAAUGCCCUUUUUACAAAAAAAAAAAAUAGAAAGGUAAAUAGGUAAAAAGAGAAAAAGAGAGUUUAUUUACCUGUAAGCUUGUUCCUGAUCCUGCUGAGAUCAAGGGACAAAAGAUUAGGUAACAAAGAUAGAGAACUCGGUACUGAACCAGAGAGAUCGUUGAAGGAAAGGUCUAUGAACUGGAGAUUCUUGAGCUCACUGAGAAAACCAGGAACCGGACCGGUCAGAUUCGUCCAGCUGAGCCUGAGGCUCCGGAGAUACUUGAGCUUGGUGAUGGUGCGUGGGAUCUGACCGGUGAGGUUAGUGAGUUUGCGGAAGACAAGGGUCUGUAGAUAAGACAAGUCACCAACCUCAGGCGGGAUCUGACCGGAGAUCUGACCGGAAAAUAUGGUUAGGGCGGUGACGCGGUGGUUAACGGUGGCGUCGCCGCACUCGAGGCAGUACCAGGAGCAACAGUCUGUUUGAGGGUCCCACGAGGCGAGGUGGUAAGGGUUGUUUAGGGCUUUCUUGAUCUUGAGGAGGGUGGUUUUGUCAUCUUGGUUACAUAGGUUUUUAGAGAAAGAAGUCGUGAGGAAUGUGAACAUGGAGAAGAACAAAAGCAGUGUCGUUGUCUUAUCCAUGCUGUCGUUG
rnacentral:lncRNA from 1 species